ACCUGGCUGGCUCAGUCAGUUAAGCGUCUGACUUCACCUCAGGUCAUGAUCUCAUGGUUUGUGGGUUCAAGCCCCGUGUCAGGCU
rnacentral:tRNA from 1 species